rnacentral:rRNA from 1 species
GAUGAACGCUAGCGGCAGGCCUAAUACAUGCAAGUCGAACGGGCUUAUGUUUUUCGGAAUAUGAGUUAGUGGCGCACGGGUGAGUAACACGUACAUAACCUACCUUCAAGAGGGGGAUAGCCUUGGGAAACUGAGAGUAAUACCCCAUAGUAUCAAGUUGCGGCAUCGUGAGUUGAUUAAAGCUGAGGUGCUUGAAGAUGGAUGUGCGUCUGAUUAGCUAGUUGGUGAGGUAACGGCUCACCAAGGCGACGAUCAGUAGGGGGCGUGAGAGCGUGGCCCCCCANACGGGUACUGAGACACGGACCCGACUCCUACGGGAGGCAGCAGUAAGGAAUAUUGGUCAAUGGGAGGGAACUCUGAACCAGCCAUGCCGCGUGAAGGAUGACGGCCCUCUGGGUUGUAAACUUCUUUUGGAUGGGGCGAAAAAACGGGNUUUAUCCUGGACUGACGGUACCA